UGUGUGCUGUGUGUGUGUGUGUGUUACCUGCAGGUCUCUGGAGCUGCUCUGGGCUGCCUUCUCCAGUUCAAUGCGAGCUCUCUUGUGUGUGUGUGUGUGUGUGUGUGUGUGUGUGUGUGUGUGUGUGUGUGUGUGUGUGUGUCCAGCUGGGCUGUGAGGUUUAAAGUGCAUUUACACACUGACCAUAGCUGCCUAGGACUGUUGGAUCUGUUGCCCUACAGAAAAUGGUGUCUUCACGAUGCCAUAGUGUGUGUGUGUUUGUUUGUGUGUGUGUGUGUGUCUGUCUGUCUGUCUGUCUGUCUGUCUUAACGAUGCCAUAGUGUCUCUGUGUGGUCCAGGUUGUGCUGUGAUUGUAUGACGAUGUACGAUUAUAUGACGUCUUUAUAGAUGAAGGUUUAUCUUUAUGAUGCCGUUUUGUGUGUGUGUGUGUGUGUGUAUUCUAUGCGUACAUGCUGCACAUGUGUGUGUGUUUGCUGCAUGCUGCUUGUGGGCUUGUGUGUGUAAGGGCUUCUUCUGACAUGGUGCUGGCUGUUCCAGAUAAUACCAGACUUAUGAAGGAAGUCUGAAUCUUGAUCGCAACACGAUGCCAUUGUGAUGUCACAGUGCCUUUAUGACAUCGUAAUGACUAACUCAAAAACAUUCUGCUGUCUGGAAAUUAUGACGUCACAGUCAGUGUUGUUAUAUGUGCAGAAUAAUCCGAUUAAAGCAUCAAUUGGAUUAUUAACAGAAUACGUAAGAUUCCCAUUUAUAUGCUAGUUUAGCGUACAAACUGAUACAUACUAAUCAAAAAUAAAAAGAUUCCAUGAUAACAUUGAAGAAUCAUAAUAAAUUCCAACUGAAUUUGGAGCACUGGUUACUUGACAAUUCCUAUUAUAUAAAAUUUCAUUUCUGUCCAAUUACACAAUUUACAUGGUAUUUUUUUAAUCACAUUGUAGAGCAUCAGUUUGCAUGCCUUCACAAAUCUUGUUGUUCGCCUCAUAUACCCACAUUGAUUUUCAUUAUCUAUCACCUAGAGAACACUGCAGUCAGGAAAUCUCUUGUGACAUCACAGUGGCAUUGUAAUGUUACAGUGUCCUUAGGACCCGGAGAACACUGCUGUUAGGAAAUGUCUUUUGUGAUGUCACAGUGUCAUCAAAAAUGACAAAAGUAACGAUUCCCAUGCUGUUUCCUUACAUUGGAAUGUGCGUAAAAUUACACAAAUUGAAAGGAUACCUGCUUAUAUGUGAUUUCUGCAACAGUGGUACUGAAAACGUAUUUUUUUUAUAAAUAGAUGACACAUGUACAGAACACACACGGACCUAAUACUGAAUUGAUGAGCUAUAAUGCCGGCCUGUUAAAUGGAUGACAAUGUAUUACAUUAAAAAUGUUGCAAAAAAAUUACAUUUCUGUUUGUCUUAAUUCACUACAAAUAAAAUAGGAUUAGGUCUUCACUUCUACCUUUAUCACAUGGUGAUUUGCAUUUCGGUGGAGGUGUGAGCUAAUGGCUCAAUCAGUCUUAAUAUUUUAAAAUAUUGUUUGUCCUCUGAAUAACAGAGCUCUACCACACCACAUAGUUGUAGAUGCAGACAAAUUCCCCUUUGAGCAAUAAAGGUUUCAUUCAUUCAUUCA